CUUCAUGUACAAAGCCGCCGACGGGUGUUACAUUUGCCUUCAGCGACCUUAACGAUCUUCCAGUGUAAAACAUCAAAGCACUCCUUUGCUUAAAGGUAAAAAUCACUGCACAAUUCAACCCUCUUGUCAAGGUCAAGACCUACCUUUAAUGAAUGAAGCCAGUCUGAAUGGAAAAACACUGGAUAAUAAAUGACUUUGAAAGACAGGCCAGCCAAUGCCUAAUGUUGGACUAAUGCAGUACCUCUUGAUUAUUUGCUGGUGUUUGGUAUAUGACAAAUAGUCGACCACUCUGGCAAGAGCACUUUGACAACUGGAAGCUUUCAGCGCAUGCUCUCCCAAGGAAUCCUGG